AGAAGGCUCGCGGCGGGCGGGGCUGAGGUGGCUAACAAGGUCCUCGAACAGCCUCGCCUGUUGGUCUGGGCGUGUGGGCGUGUUCUCCACCCCUUACAGGGAGUGUGGGACCCGCGGGCCAGUCUCGCCCUUGUUCCGGGCCGGAUCUCGAGUGGGCGCUCAGCCCGGCGGUGGAGAGACAGUUUACUUUGUUCAGCAAAUAUUUAAUCGAUGCCGACUUUUAAUUGGAGAUUGUCUCGGCUGGCAGGAGCCUCUAGACUGCCUGUGUCCUGUUUCUUCCCCUGAAAAUAAGAAACCCCAGUUUCAGACAGUUAAGAGAGGUCUAAGGUCAAAAUAAUCAUAAUUUCUUGAGUGCUUCCUACUGGCCAGACAGUGUGCUAAGCACUUUUAAAGGCAUUAUCUCAUCGGUUAAAACAUAGUUUUCCCGACUUAAAGUUUACAGCACACUGGGGCGGAAGCGGGGGAUAGUAAACCGCUUCUCUACUCCCUUUCUCCGUUUAUUGACUCACACUCUGUUCUUUGGAUCACUUCCUUCGGAAAAAGUUCCUCGUAGUGUGUCUUGACUUUUUUAAAAGUUGUAUGUUAAAAGUAGUUAAACACGCUGACAGAUACUGAAGAAUGAAGAAAAUUGUAAGAAUGUGAAGUCUGCCUUUAGAAUGCGGCAGGAAACCUAAACAAAACUUAAAUGCUUUGUUUUGAUCACAUUAUCACAGUCGUUGGUCUUCAGAGGUCAAUUGUGAACGGCUUUGGCUUGUGUUUGCAGCUUUUCUUCAGUUGCCGCCUCCACCCUUAGUUUAAUAACAAUGAUCCAGUCCUGUUACACCUGAGUGUGGACUCAUGCCAUGACUGACUUGCUUCUACCCUUUAGCUUUUCUAGUGCCAUAUUCUCCGCCUGCCAUAUCUGAUUCUUUUCUUAAAUCCCAUACUCUCUCAUUCAGGAAACCUCUUCCCAACAAUUCCACAAAGAUCUAAUUAUUCUGCAUAUUCUAGCACUACGUGAUCAAUAGUUCUCAAUAGGUGUUUGCACUUUUUUUUAAAUUGCUUUUUUCUCUAAGAAUUAUUUUUCGUUUGUUUUUGUCUGUUUACUUGAUUUAAGGACACUUCAUUUUUGCUUCCCAUGUCUAGUACACUGACACAGUGGACACUCAAUACUUGGUUUGUUGAAAGUUAAGUAGACUAUAAGUU
rnacentral:lncRNA from 1 species